CUUUGGCAAAGGUACUGUGUUUCUCCGAACCUCGCCUGUGAAAGGGAUUUAAAGAUUUAAAGGGAUUUAAAGCCUGUCUUCAAGGGCUGCUGGGAGGAGUCGGUGAGAUGGAGCACAUCUAGUGCUUGGCGGAGUGCUUGGCACAUACUUGGCCCUGUCAGCAUUAACUGCCGUCCUCAGGCCCGGGCUCUGCUGGGGCUGUGUGAGCCGCCCAUGCCCAGCUCCAGCGGAGCACUAUUGUCUUGGCCAUGCUGGUUGGGCUCCUGUUUUUUACCCUAAAUUUUAAGAAGGGCCUUUUCCUUGUGGGUGUGGCUACAGUGCCUGAACCUGGGAGGGAUCUGAGGAGAGUGUGAUUGGGAAGGCCCCUUACAUGAUUCUGUUCCCAGCUGGGUGCCAAGAAAGGCCUAGGGGCCCAGAAGGUGAGCAGCCAGAGCUUCAGUGAGAUUGAGCGGCAGGCUCAGGUGGCAGAGAAGCUCCGUGAGCAGCAGGCAGCCGAUGCCAAGAAGCAGGCGGAGGAGUCCAUGGUCGCCUCCAUGCGUCUGGCCUACCAGGAGCU
rnacentral:lncRNA from 10 species